rnacentral:misc_RNA from 1 species
AUCCAAAUCUAUGCACUUGAACCUAAGAAAGAAAAUUGAUAUAAAAAAAAAGGCAAUCAGUAGCACAAACACUCCUUAACUAUUUAAAAAAAGCCAAAUAGUCAUUCACAAAAUGUGAUACAAAAGUUAAGUUCCUCAAUAAGCAAUAUCACAUAGCUUUGUGCUACAUUAUGAUAACGGAAUAACAAGAAUAAUACUUAUGAACUAUGUUUAACAAUUAUUGAAAGAUGCCGUAGGCAAUCAGUAGCACAAACACUCCUUAACUAUUUAAAAAAAGCCAAAUAGUCAUUCACAAAAUGUGAUACAAAAGUUAAGUUCCUCAAUAAGCAAUAUCACAUAGCUUUGUGCUACAUUAUGAUAACGGAAUAACAAGAAUAAUACUUAUGAACUAUGUUUAACAAUUA